UACGAACUGUGCAAACGUUAUUCGGAUUCACUGGGCUUAAAGGGUGCGUAGGCGGCCAUGUAAGUAGGGUGUGAAAUCCCCCGGCUUAACCGGGGAACUGCGCCCUAAACUGUGUGGCUUGAGUGAGAUAGGGGUGUGUGGAACUUCCGGUGGAGCGGUGAAAUGUGUUGAUAUCGGAAGGAACGCCGGUGGCGAAGCGACACACUGGUCUCAACUGACGCUG
rnacentral:rRNA from 1 species